rnacentral:rRNA from 1 species
GGGUCAACGGUUCGAAUCCGUUAUUCUCCACACAUCCCGCGAGGGAAAGAGGAUCUUUGACAUGUUGGACAUCAAAAAGAAGAAACAAGUAGAGCGAGCUUAAGAUAUAUCAACCCGUGCGUCAAGUACGAGGUGAG